rnacentral:ncRNA from 1 species
UACCUGGUUGAUCCUGCCAGUAGUCAUAUGCUUGUCUCAAAGAUUAAGCCAUGCAUGUCUCAGUUCAGGCCUUAAUACGGUGAGACCGCGAAUGGCUCAUUAAAUCAGCUAUGGUUUAUUGGAUCGUGCCCGUCUAGAUGGAUAACUAGUAAUAACUCAAGAGAUAACACAUGCCUUCGAUGCCAUGACCCUGCUUGCUAGCGUCCGGCGGGGGAUGGGUGCACUUAUUAGACCAGAAGCCAAACAACCAACAGGGAGAGUGCGGCCCACUGCGAGGUGGACGUGGCGUGCGUUGACACUCACUUCUGGUGACUCUGGAUAACAGUUACAGAUCGCAGUCGGCGCUGAGUCGGCGACGGGUCCG